rnacentral:tRNA from 1 species
UAGGGUAUAGCUCAGUGGUAGAGCACGUGCCUACCAUGCAGGAGGUCCUGGGUUCAAUCCCCAGUACCGUCA